rnacentral:piRNA from 1 species
UCAUUGAUAUGGUUCUUGUGAGAUUGUAGC